rnacentral:tRNA from 2 species
GGGCGGUUAGCUCAGUUGGUAGAGCAUCUCGUUUACACCGAGGUUGUCGGGGGUUCGAGUCCCUCACCGCCCACCA